GAGGUUGCUGCGGUUUUUCCGCGAUAGUUUGGGGCAGUUCCUCGCGUUGCGGACCCUUCUGAAUUUUCUGGACCUACGCAUUGGAUCCUCAAAGAACUGGUGAUCGAAUUAGGGGAAAAGGGGCCUCGUCGGAGAGUAGAGGUUUGGAGGGGCAAGGGCCGCUGUUUACGUUCUCGUCCGUGGCACCUUCUUGGGCUUGGGUCUGUCCUCGCGUCCCGGGGCACUGGUACUUGGUUGGGUCGCGUCUCACCUGGUUUCAGGGGUUCCGGGGCUCUGAGUUCGCCCACUCCGCCCCCUGCACCCCACGCGCGUGGCCACUUCUUCGCGAUAUAACGUUGGGGUGUUAAUCUCCUUGGGUUUCCCGUUACUGUUCUUUAAAAUGGGGACUUUGGGACCAUCCUAAUGGAAUCGUUUUGGGAACUGGAAGAGAUAACACAAAUGAGAGCCUUAAAGCAGUCCCUGUCACUUGGUGACUGGUGGACUCUUGUUAAUUUCCCACGAAGCCUGUCACGUCCCCGAGUGGGGUCAGAGCUCCAGCUGCAGGGGCCUCGGCCCUUCUCCCUGAUCCCUGCAGGACGCUGGAUGAUCCCGGAAGCCUUCUGACCUCUUUUUAGGAGAGCGAGGGUUGCGUCCACUUUCAUGAAGGGAAAGGAGCAUUUAACUUUUAUGGGGGAUGGCGACGCGGUCAGGGUGUUUCACAGCUUUCUCCUUCCCCAACCCGACCUUUCCAAAAGAGAUGCAGGGAGGGACUUCUUGGCUUCUGAGGGCAAAGCUCUACGUGAGUGGUCCUUGGCUCUUUGACCGAGAUGCUCACCCCAACCGAGAGUGUAUAUAGGUUGUGUCCUCGGGCAUGGGGGUCGAUAAUAAUUAAGUCUUAAUUAGUAACUUCAUUCUAAGGGCUUUAUACAAAUAAAUUUACGCCACACCGUGGCUCUGUGGAGAAGUAUUGCUUUUUUCUAUUUUAAAAACGAAAGUGAGACACAGAGCGCAUAGGCACCCGACUAGUGAGAGGUGGAGCUGGGGUUGGAACCUAAGCAGUCUGGGUCAGAGCCUGAUUUGAUCUUCUCUUGGGAUACGUUGUCUUUGAGGCAGAGGAACUAGUUGGACUUAGGUGGGGAAAGCAAGACUUAGGGGCUUGAAAUUUUCUGAGUUUCUAAAAAUGUUGUCAACUAUUUUGUUUCAAUCAUUACAAAUAUUUUGUACUCUUAUAGAACCAUGUCAUUGCAGAGCAUUCUAUUUUUCUUUAUUAAGAACAAAAUGGGCCUGGCGCGGUGGCUCACGCCUGUAAUCCCAGCACUUUGGGAGGCCUAGGCGGGCGGAUCACGAGGUCAGGGGUUCGAGACCAGCCUGGCCAACAUGGUGAAACCCCCGUCUCUACUAAAAAAUAAUUAACAAAAAUUAGCUGGGCGUGGUGGUGGGCGCCUGUAAUCCCAGUUACUCGGGAGGCUGAGGCAGGAGAAUCGUUUGAAUCUGGGAGGCGGAGGUUGCAGUGAGCCGAGAUCCGCCAUUGCACUCCAGCCUGGGCGACAGUGCGAGACUCCGUCUCAAAAAAAAAAAAAAAAGAA
rnacentral:sRNA from 1 species